rnacentral:rRNA from 1 species
ACACUGGAACUGAGAACUCGGUCCAGACUCCUACGGGAGGCAGCAGUGGGGAAUAUUGCNCAAUGGGCGCAAGCCUNANGCAGCCCAUGUCCGNGUGUAUGAAGAAGGGCCUUCGGGUUGUAAAGUACUUUCAGCGGGGAGGAAGGCGAUGUGGUUAAUAACCGCAUUGAUUGACGUUNCCCGCAGAAGAAGCACCGGCUAACUCCGUGCCAGCAGCCGCGGUAAUACGGAGGGUGCAAGCGUUAAUCGGAAUUACUGGGCGUAAAGCGCACGCAGGCGGUCUGUUAAGUCAGAUGUGAAAUCCCCGGGCUUAACCUGGGAACUGCAUUUGAAACUGGCAGGCUUGAGUCUCGUAGAGGGGGGUAGAAUUCCAGGUGUAGCGGUGAAAUGCGUAGAGAUCUGGAGGAAUACCGGUGGCGAAGGCGGCCCCCUGGACGAAGACUGACGCUCAGGUGCGAAAGCGUGGGGAGCAANCAGGAUUAGAUACCCUGGUAGUCCACGCCGUAAACGAUGUCGNCUUGGAGGUUGUG